rnacentral:tRNA from 1 species
UUUGAUUAGUUCAAUUGGUAGAACAAAGGUCUUCGAUACCUUAAUUAGUGGUUCGAUUCCGCUAGAGAAAA